CGCAGGUGCUAGAAAUGACUUGAUAACCACAGAACUCUGCACAGAAACACUUACUACCUGCCGUCCACAGUGCUGAGCACUCCCUCACUGUGAGGCAGCUACUGCUGGUCCCAUUGGACAGUCAGGAAAUCCAUACUUACUCUGCUUCACAGUUCACCUGGUCUUGCUGCCACAUGGCUCCGGGCAAGUUGGCGUCCUCCUCUAGGACAGGGUGGGCUUUGUAAAGGUAAAUAUUACAUAAGGAAGCAAAAGUGCUCUGAGGAAAGUUUAAGGAGACGCGAGUGGAUUAGGUCUCAAGUUUUUCCAAAACGAAAGUACUCAAGCUUUCUCCCCCAGAUUCAACAUCAUCUCUGGCAGCUGUCACCAAGAAAACUGCAGAGAGAAACAUGCAUCUUGCUUUUCAAAAAUUCCUAG
rnacentral:lncRNA from 1 species